rnacentral:rRNA from 1 species
GACGAACCGAGCGAACGUUAUUCGGAAUCACUGGGCUUAAAGCGUGUGUAGGCGGAUCGUUAAGUACCUUGUGAAAUCCCACGGCUUAACCGUGGAACUGCUUGGUAUACUGGCGAUCUUGAGCCACUUAGGGGCUACCGGAACAAAUGGUGGAGCGGUGAAAUGCGUAGAUAUCAUUUGGAACGCCAAUGGUGAAAACAGGUAGCUGGGAGUGUGCUGACGCUGAGACACGAAAGCCAGGGGAGCAAACGGG